rnacentral:rRNA from 1 species
UGAAUACGAGACGCUAAGGCGUCGAAGUAGUGUAUGUCAUACUUCCAAGAAAAGCUUGCACUGUCAUAGAUAAAAAACGCCUGUACCAUAACCGACACAGGUGGGUAGGUAGAGUAUACUAAGGGGCGCGAGAUAACUCUCUCUAAGGAACUCGGCAAAAUAACUCCGUAACUUCGGGAGAAGGAGUGCCUUAUUCGUAAGGUUGCAAUAACAAGAUCCAAGCAACUGUUUAUCAAAAACACAGGUCUCCGCUAAGUCGUAAGACGAUGUAUGGGGGCUGACGCCUGCCCAGUGCCAGAAGGUUAAAGAAGUUGGUUAGCAAUUGCGAAGCUGAUAACUGAAGCCCUGGUGAACGGCGGCCGUAACGAUAACGGUCCUAAGGUAGCGAAAUUCCUUGUCGGGUAAGUUCCGACCCGCACGAAAGGCGUAAUGAUUUGGAUACUGUCUCGGAGAGGGGCUCGGUGAAAUAGACUUGUCUGUGAAGAUGCGGACUACCUGCACCAGGACAGAAAGACCCUAUGAAGCUUUACUGUAACUUGAAAUUGAAAUUGGACUUUAUUCGCGCAGUAUAGGUGGGAGGCGUUGAUUAUAAUCUUGUGGGAUUAUUGGAGCCAUCAGUGAGAUACCACUCUUGUAAUGUUAGAUUUCUAACUUUUGAAUCAUUAUCUGGUCAAAGAACAGUUUCAGGCGGGCAGUUUGACUGGGGCGGUCGCCUCCUAAACGGUAACGGAGGCGUACAAAGGUUUCCUCUGAACGGUUAGAAAUCGUAUCUAGAGUGUAAAGGCAUAAGGAAGCUUGACUGUGAGACCUACAAGUCGAGCAGGGACGAAAGUCGGCCUUAGUGAUCUGACGGUACUGAGUGGAAAGGCCGUCACUCAACGGAUAAAAGUUACUCUAGGAUAACAGGCUGAUCUCCCCCAAGAGUUCACAUCGACGGGGAGGUUUGGCACCUCGAUGUCGGCUCAUCGCAUCCUGGGGCGGUAGUACGUCCCAAGGGUUGGGCUGUUCGCCCAUGAAAGCGGUACGCGAGCUGGGUUCAGAACGUCGUGAGACAGUUCGGUCCAUAUCCGGUGUAGGCGUUAGAAUAUUGAGAGGAGCCUUCUUUAGUACGAGAGGACCGAGAAGGACAUACCUCUGGUGUACCAGUUAUCGUGCCAACGGUAAACGCUGGGUAGCUAUGUAUGGAGUGGAUAACCGCUGAAAGCAUCUAAGUGGGAAGCCCACCUCAAGAUAAG